AGUGAACGCUGGCGGUAGGCCUAACACAUGCAAGUCGAACGGCAGCACAGUAAGAGCUUGCUCUUACGGGUGGCGAGUGGCGGACGGGUGAGGAAUACAUCGGAAUCUACUUUUUCGUGGGGGAUAACGUAGGGAAACUUACGCUAAUACCGCAUACGACCUACGGGUGAAAGCAGGGGAUCUUCGGACCUUGCGCGAUUGAAUGAGCCGAUGUCGGAUUAGCUAGUUGGCGGGGUAAAGGCCCACCAAGGCGACGAUCCGUAGCUGGUCUGAGAGGAUGAUCAGCCACACUGGAACUGAGACACGGUGCCGACUCCUACGGGAGGCAGCAGUGGGGAAUAUUGGACAAUGGGCGCAAGCCUGAUCCAGCCAUACCGCGUGGGUGAAGAAGGCCUUCGGGUUGUAAAGCCCUUUUGUUGGGAAAGAAAAGCAGCAGGUUAAUACCCCGCUGUUCUGACGGUACCCAAAGAAUAAGCACCGGCUAACUUCGUG
rnacentral:rRNA from 1 species